UCCUUUUGGAUGUUCCAAUUCAGAAGAAGUGCAGUGUUAUUUCUAUGUAACACAAAAUAAAUAAAAACCUAUACCAAACUUACUGCGUUUGUUUUUAUUUGCCAAUGAUUUUGAUAGGAAGCCAUAUAACUUCUCACAAUUUACGUUUUCUUGUCUCGAUUAAACUCUAGAGUACAUUUGAAUAAACUAAUCAUAGUUGAUUUUACGUUAUUGUGUAUCAAUGUAUGUUGAAUUGCAACAAUAUCAUUUAAAGCAAGCUGUAAUGUUUGUAGGUGUACCUUAUGCAUCAGGCGUAACUGUUCUAACAUUGUCCACUAGCUAGUGCGUAUUGACGUCACCACGCAACCAGCGUAUAUCUAAAUAUCACACAAGCCAUAUUAACUUCUCACAAUUUACGUUUUCUUUUCUACAUUAAACUCUAGAGUAAAUUUGAAUAAACUAAUCAUAGUUGAUUUUACGUUAUUGAAGGCCCUCUAUACUUUCAAGGGUGAAACUCCCUUUCAAAUGCCAUUUCUGAAGUCUAAAAUAUUUUCAUGUACCAUUUCAAUCUUACAGAUGAAUCUGUCUAAUAGUAGGUUUGUGCCUCACUUAUCUUGUUUCCAUGUUAAAAAUACAAAGGUCAUCUACCCACAUGAGAGGAGAUGCCUUUUUUUGGAUCCAUUGGGGGAAUCUAAAAGGAACAUUCAGAGAUGCCUGGAGUCAACAAGGGCCUUUAUGCGAAAGAAAGACUGCAAUGUGACAAGGUGGACAUGCAGCACUCUGGCCCAUGCACGCCAGCAAGAUGGCACAUCAUGUGGUGUCCUGGCCUUAAAAUUUGCAGAGAAAAUAUUGAAAGGGCAGCCAAUUAACAUUGAGACGCACCUUUCGGCUGUGAACAAUUUGAGACUGGAUAUUGCCACUAUUCUCCUUCAAGAAACAGGUGAAUUUUAUUUUUAGCAGAUCAAUAUUAAUUACUUCAUGUUUGAGCUGUUUUAAAUCCCAUGCCCUUCAGUUGAAAUGACAGGGGAAUGGGUAAAUCAUUAUAGAGGAAUGUACAGCACUGUAUCCAAAUGCUUAGUUCUAAACUGAAAUUGCCCAUAACCUUGGUACAAGACACUAUGUUGUACCAAUUUAUAAAUGCUGGAUAUUCUGGAAUUAUUUAAGUAACAUUAAUAGUGCAUGUGUGGAAGGGGUCCUCUGGGUCCUACUGUCUCACUUUCU